rnacentral:rRNA from 1 species
AUUGAACGCUGGCGGUAUGCUUAACACAUGCAAGUCGAACGAUGAGAAAGAGCUUGCUCUUUCGAUUAGUGGCGGACGGGUGCGUAACGCGUAGGAAUCUACCUAUUAGUGGGGGACAACUUAGGGAAUCUUAAGCUAAUACCGCAUACGCCCUACGGGGGAAAGAAGGGGAUCGCAAGACCUUUUGCUAAUAGAUGAGCCUGCGUAGGAUUAGCUAGUUGGUGGGGUAAAAGCUCACCAAGGCGACGAUCCUUAACUGGUUUGAGAGAAUGAGCAGUCACACUGGAACUGAGACACGGUCCAGACUCCUACGGGAGGCAGCAGUGGGGAAUAUUGGACAAUGGGCGAAAGCCUGAUCCAGCAAUACCGCGUGUGUGAAGAAGGCCUUAGGGUUGUAAAGCACUUUCAAUUGGAAGGAAAACCUCGAAGCUAAUACCUUCGAGUUUGACAGUACCUUUAGAAGAAGCACCGGCUAACUCCGUGCCAGCCGCCGCCGUAA